GCCCUCUUAGGAUCGCACCAGGAGAGUUUCCAGUACUCUACCAGUAUCGGCUAUGGGAGGAAGUGUCAAGCAGAGGUGUGCCUAUUCCAUUCCUAGCUUGGGCAGUGGCUAGCGAGUGGAAGGCAAUCUGCUACAAGG